rnacentral:lncRNA from 1 species
CGGCGGCGGUGUUUGUGCAGACACGUGCAGGCGUUGAACUGUGCUUUCGGCACACACACAAAAAAGGACCAUAAAACCCAAGUGAAGACCAACGCUGUGAAGACGGCCCUGUGGAGGCAAGUGGCAGCGAUCGUUCUGUCCGGUGUGCAAGACGGUGUGUCACCGCUGUGAAAAGCGGAGCGGGAGCCGAGGAAGGGAGCUGGCGAUUGUUCCUGGCCGUUUUUCGGGCUCUGAGCUGUGCUCCCUGCAGGGAAGCAGACAUAGUCUCUCCCUCUCCUCAAAUUCUUCUGGGACACCAUGGAAACAAAACCCACAUUGGACAACAUUCAACUGCCUAGCCAGCAGCAGCCUGUCGCAAGCCAGGAAGAAGAGCCAGAAAGCAUGUCCCAGUUUGGUCUUGUGGAUGUUCUGGAGGCACACAAGUUCGAGAGAGAGGAGAAUAAGUCGGUGGUGACGGGGGUGUCACUGCCAUUAGUGGCAGCACCUGCACCUCGUUCACACGCACCCUCAGUGGCGGCAAGAUCAGCUUUGUCCAUGUGCAGAGAACGGAAGGGCCAGGCCACGGCUGCAGGUAAAAGAAGAAAGCGAAACAAAGAUGAUUUUCGGGUACAGCAGCCGGGGCGGGUGUCCCGUGCCCUGGAAGUUACCCGGCCAAUGGAUCACCACGAACUGUUCGCAAUGUCGCUAGUCUCAUUAAUGAGACUAGUAAGCGCUGACAAGCAACUGAAAAUGCGCAUAGAGCUAUUGCGUGUUAUCGAGAAAUAUAUGGAUUAAUUUUUCUUUCAUACUUGGCUCUAUCACUGCACCUUCAUCGUGCUGACAACACAUCGGCAUGGGAAAAGGAACAGAUUACAGACAUGCAUUGUUCACAGCUAUCUGUUUCUUCUGCUCGUCCUUGUGCUUAAUGCACCAUGAAGGCACAGGGAAACUUCCAACCAGCCCAUCAAGACGGCAUGUUGGCUGAAUAUGCUUAUUUUCUUUUAUAUUUAUUUCCAUCUCAGUUAUAUCACAUCCCACUCCAUUAUAGUUGAACCCCCCACUCUCGUGCUCAGCAGCACUAAGCCAUAGCCACUGAAGCAGUUAUCUGCGACUAAAUUUAUGGCAUUGCACAUUUAGUUUGAAUUCACGCGGGCUGAAUGGUUGGUGUAUGAUAGAUAUCAGCUGUUAUUGCUUAAGACUGUACAAGUGGUGUAUUCCCUACUGCCUUGUAUGUUUGUGUUCCUUAUGUCACUGCAAUGGUACCAAUGAAAACAUUGUUUAUGUGGAGUUUAACAUCCCGAAAGAGCAUAUAUGUAGUGGGUUAUGAAAAACGCCAUAGUGUAGUGCUCCAAAUUAAAUUCGAUGCGCACCUAAGCCUAAGUACGUACCUAAGUGUUCUUGCAUAUGCGGCCACCGAACCACAGCCUCGUGUUCAGCAGCAAAAUGGCAUAGCCACCGCCGGUGGCACAGUGUAGACAGUUUUCUACUAGUGUAUACUAUUGCAUUCUUGUUUGGCUGUCUUGUAUAUGUAUAGUUCAUUGUGAGGUGUGAUUACAACUAUAGUCACCUACCUGUAAUUCGAACUCUACGGGGAGCAUCAAAA